UAGUCAUAUGCUUGUCUCAAAGACUAAGCCAUGCAUGUCUAAGUAUGAAUGUUAUACAGUGAAACUGCGAAUGGCUCAUUAAAACAGUUAUUGUUUAUUUGAUAAUCAAAUUUACAUGGAUAACCGUGGUAAUUCUAGAGCUAAUACAUGCUGAUAUGCCUGACUCUUAGGAAGGGCUGUAUUUAUUAGAUAACAAACCAAUAUUCCUCGUGUCUAUUGUGAUGACUCAUAAUAACUGAUCGAAUCGCAUGGACUUUGUCCGCGAUACAUCAUUCAAGUUUCUGCCCCAUCAGCUUUCGAUGGUAGUGUAUUGGACUACCAUGGCUUUAACGGGUAACGGAGGAUUAGGGUUCGAUUCCGGAGAGGGAGCCUGAGAAACGGCUACCACAUCUAAGGAAGGCAGCAGGCGCGUAGAUUACCCAAUCCUAAUUCAGGGAGGUAGUGACAAGAAAUAACGGACUGAGGCCUACGCUUCAGGAUUGCAAUGAGUAGAAUUUAAACCCCUUUGCGAGGAUCAGUU
rnacentral:rRNA from 1 species